rnacentral:rRNA from 1 species
UACAUGGGGUGCAAACGUUGCUCGGAAUUAUUGGGCGUAAAGCGCACGUAGGUGGUCGCUUAAGUCGGAUGUGAAAGCCCUCGGCUCAACUGAGGAAGUGCAUCCGAAACUGAGUGGCUAGAGUAUGGAAGAGGGUCGCGGAAUUCCCGGUGUAGAGGUGAAAUUCGUAGAUAUCGGGAGGAACACCGGUGGCGAAGGCGGCGACCUGGGCCAAUACUGACACUGAGGAGCGAAAGCCAGGGGAGCAAACAGG